UAGGACACACAACCAGUAGGACACACAACCAGUAGGUCACACGUCAGUACAUACACACAACCAGUAGGACACACAACCAGUAGGACACACAACCAGUAGGACACACAACCAGUAGGACACACGUCAGUACAUACACACAACCAGUAGGACACACAACCAGUAGGACACACAACCAGUAGGUCACACGUCAGUACAUACACACAACCAGUAGGACACACAACCAGUAGGACACACAACCAGUAGGACACACGUCAGUACAUACACACAACCAGUAGGACACACGACCAGUAGGACACACAACCAGUAGGACACACAACCAGUAGGACACACGUCAGUACAUACACACAACCAGUAGGACACACAACCAGUAGGACACACAACCAGUAGGUCACACGUCAGUACAUACACACAACCAGUAGGACACACAACCAGUAGGUCACACGUCAGUACAUACACACAACCAGUAGGACACACAACCAGUAGGACACACAACCAGUAGGACACACAACCAGUAGGACACACAUCAGUACAUACACACAA